UACGUAGGGUGCAAGCGUUGUCCGGAAUUAUUGGGCGUAAAGAGCUCGUAGGCGGUCUGUCGCGUCUGCUGUGAAAACUCAGGGCUUAACCCUGAGCUUGCAGUGGGUACGGGCAGACUAGAGUGCGGUAGGGGAGACUGGAAUUCCUGGUGUAGCGGUGAAAUGCGCAGACUAUCAGGAGGAACACCGGUGGCGAAGGCGGGUCUCUGGGCAACAACUGACGCUGGAGGUGACGAAAGCGUGGGGAGCAAACAGG
rnacentral:rRNA from 1 species